ACAUGAUUAUUUCAAGUAUGCAUUGUGAUGAUCUAUGAAUUAAUUUCUAUUAUACAUUAUUCAUUAUCUCAUUUCCAUUUUCAUAUGAUGUGUCUGAUAAUUCGUGAACUGUGAUUCCAUUCAUUCAUCUGUGAAUUUAUUAUAUUGUCAUCCAAUUUAUCUAUGUUCUGUUACAGGCUCUGAAAAUUGAUGAAAUGGAACAAAUUAUUUGGACAAGACACUAGAAAAAUUCUACUCGGUCGGUUUUGUAAUCAUACCUCAAGAUACUUGCGAGAUCUUCGUCUGCACUGCACUAGCAUUUCAGUCGUCGCCGCCGCACCACGAUCACUCGGCGGCAUCCACAUCUAGUGGUGGUGGAUCUACAUGCAAGGAGCAUGCGCACUACCACUGGAUGUGGAUGCUGGAUGAGUUGGGCAACCUCGGCCGCUCCAGUACCAACUGCCCGACCAGGUGUUGCUAACCACAUUCGGCUACUUGCUGUCGGUUUCAGGGCAUCAGCUCUGUUGCUUGGUAUGGAUUGUAAGACACAGAAGAAGACGCAUUUAGAUGUUUUUGGAUCUUGAAUCUUGAUGCUCACAGAAAAGCAAGUCAACCAGACAGGCUCUGAAAAUUGAUGAAAUGGAA